GGGGAUAUUGCACAAUGGGGGGAACCCUGAUGCAGCGACGCCGCGUGAGUGAAGAAGUAAUUCGUUAUGUAAAGCUCUAUCAGCAGGGAAGAAUAAAUAACGGUACCUGAGUAAGAAGCCCCGGCUAACUACGUGCCAGCAGCCGCGGUAAUACGUAGGGGGCAAGCGUUAUCCGGAUUUACUGGGUGUAAAGGGAGCGUAGACGGCGAUGCAAGCCAGAUGUGAAAGCCCGCGGCUCAACUGCGGUAGUGCAUUUGGAACUGUAUGGCUGGAGUGCAGGAGAGGCAGGCGGAAUUCCUAGUGUAGCGGUGAAAUGCGUAGAUAUUAGGAGGAACACCAGUGGCGAAGGCGGCCUGCUGGACUGUAACUGACGUUGAGGCUCGAAAGCGUGGGGAGCAAACAGG
rnacentral:rRNA from 1 species